ensembl:piRNA 21ur-585 ncRNA
UAUUGAUAGUACAGUGCGUGC